CAGAGAGUCCUGCAGUCUCCACCAGCCCGAGACCCUUAAAACACAAUGUUGUGAGAAAAAAAAAGCACAACGGGAUGGUGUUUUGGGAUUCAUCAAGAAAGUCAGUUAAUCUCUCAGUGGGCCUACUGAAUAAUGAGAAGGACAAAGAGGAAAGUAUACAGCUACUGAGACUUAAAAAAAUGCACUUUGGUGUCUUGAUGUGGAUAUUUCAGCCCUCCGAGCCCUAGCACCCCAGCAAUUUGGUCACUUGCCCAAGGCAAGUAAUGGUGGCUUCCAGGCGAACAGUAAAGAAAAGCCGGAAGGUAUCUCUAUGCUAUGCAGACGAUUAGUGUGCGUAACCAGAAAGUGGCGUUAAAUUAAACUCCAGUUUGGCACAGCAAAUCGAAUCGCCGGCGCCAACCUCAUGCCGGCAGUCUUUGGGGGAUGUGUGCUCAAAGGAGAGGUCAGUGUCCUCCAGCAAAGCACCCCAGCAUGAGGUGAGGAGCUAAUGGACCAGAUGGCAUGAGCACUUUGGUGACGGGAAAAGAUGGAUGACAGGAAUGCACCAAGAUGGAAAUCAUCUUUCCAAAUCCUCACCCCACCCCCGGCUCCGUCUAAAAGAAGGCAGCAUGUCGUAAAAUAAAGAGCAUGAGCAAAUUCCCUUAGACAAAGCAUUCGUCAGAUGAACGAAAGAAGGGAAGGUGUACAUACCGUCUGCCCGUCUCUUCUCUUUACCAGGGAACAAAGAAGAGCCCUUCAGUAAUCCAGUUGUGCAUUCCUUGAUCUAUAAAGGCAUCUCAGAAUGGUGGUUUUUCAAUACAAACGCAGAGGGAAACUGUUUUCUUGUCUUAGUAAAGUGUGGCUGCAUGGGUCACCCACAAAAACGCCUCCCCACAAUCGCAGAGUGGCUCUUUUGUUUGGGAAAUGAUGGUAGUUAUUUGUAUUCUGCUAAGGC